UACGUAGGGGGCAAGCGUUGUCCGGAAUUAUUGGGCGUAAAGAGCUCGUAGGCGGUCUGUCGCGUCGAUCGUGAAAACUUGGGGCUUAACCCUGAGCUUGCGGUCGAUACGGGCACGACUGGAGUUCGGCAGGGGAGACUGGAAUUCCUGGUGUAGCGGUGAAAUGCGCAGAUAUCAGGAGGAACACCGGUGGCGAAGGCGGGUCUCUGGGCCGAUACUGACGCUGAGGAGCGAAAGCGUGGGGAGCGAACAGG
rnacentral:rRNA from 1 species